CAGUCGCCGCGGUAAUACGUAGGUGGCAAGCGUUGUCCGGAAUUAUUGGGCGUAAAGGGCUCGCAGGCGGUUUCUUAAGUCUGAUGUGAAAGCCCCCGGCUCAACCGGGGAGGGUCAUUGGAAAUUGGGAAACUUGAGUGCAGAAGAGGAGAGUGGAAUUCCACGUGUAGCGGUGAAAUGCGUAGAGAUGUGGAGGAACGCCAGUGGCGAAGGCGACUCUCUGGUCUGUGACUGACGCUGAGGAGCGAAAGCGUGGGGAGCGAACAGGAUUAGAUACCCGGGUAGUCCCUGUCUCUUAUAC
rnacentral:rRNA from 1 species